rnacentral:rRNA from 1 species
AACGCGAAGAACCUUACCUGGCCUUGACAUCCUGCGAACUUUCUAGAGAUAGAUUGGUGCCUUCGGGAACGCAGUGACAGGUGCUGCAUGGCCGUCGUCAGCUCGUGUCGUGAGAUGUUGGGUUAAGUCCCGUAACGAGCGCAACCCCUAUCCCUAGUUGCUAGCAGUUCGGCUGAGAACUCUAGGGAGACUGCCGGUGACAAACCGGAGGAAGGUGGGGAUGACGUCAGGUCAUCAUGGCCCUUACGGCCAGGGCUACACACGUGCUACAAUGGCGCGCACAGAGGGCUGCAAACUCGCGAGGGUAAGCCAAUCUCUUAAAACGCGUCGUAGUCCGGAUCGCAGUCUGCAACUCGACUGCGUGAAGUCGGAAUCGCUAGUAAUCGCGAAUCAGAAUGUCGCGGUGAAUACGUUCCC